rnacentral:rRNA from 1 species
AAAUAGAUACCCGGGUAGUCCACGCCGUGAACGAUGAGUGCUAAGUGUUAGAGGGUUUCCGCCCUUUAGUGCUGAAGUUAACGCAUUAAGCACUCCGCCUGGGGAGUACGGCCGCAAGGCUGAAACUCAAAGGAAUUGACGGGGGCCCGCACAAGCGGUGGAGCAUGUGGUUUAAUUCGAAGCAACGCGAAGAACCUUACCAGGUCUUGACAUCCUCUGACAACCCUAGAGAUAGGGCUUCUCCUUCGGGAGCAGAGUGACAGGUGGUGCAUGGUUGUCGUCAGCUCGUGUCGUGAGAUGUUGGGUUAAGUCCCGCAACGAGCGCAACCCUUGAUCUUAGUUGCCAUCAUUAAGUUGGGCACUCUAAGGUGACUGCCGGUGACAAACCGGAGGAAGGUGGGGAUGACGUCAAAUCAUCAUGCCCCUUAUGACCUGGGCUACACACGUGCUACAAUGGACGGUACAAAGAGCUGCAAGACCGCGAGGUGGAGCUAAUCUCAUAAAAANCGUUCUCAGUUCGGAUUGUAGG